rnacentral:rRNA from 1 species
GAUGAACGCUGGCGGCGUGCCUAAUACAUGCAAGUCGAGCGAACGGACGAGAAGCUUGCUUCUCUGAUGUUAGCGGCGGACGGGUGAGUAACACGUGGAUAACCUACCUAUAAGACUGGGAUAACUUCGGGAAACCGGAGCUAAUACCGGAUAAUAUUUUGAACCGCAUGGUUCAAAAGUGAAAGACGGUCUUGCUGUCACUUAUAGAUGGAUCCGCGCUGCAUUAGCUAGUUGGUAAGGUAACGGCUUACCAAGGCAACGAUGCAUAGCCGACCUGAGAGGGUGGUCGGCCACACUGGAACUGCGACACGGUCCAGCCUCCUCCGGGGGGCAGCAGUAGGGAAUCUUCCGCAAUGGGCGAAAGCCUGACGGAGCAACGCCGCGUGAGUGAUGAAGGUCUUCGGAUCGUAAAACUCUGUUAUUAGGGAAGAACAUAUGUGUAAGUAACUGUGCACAUCUUGACGGUACCUAAUCAGAAAGCCACGGCUAACUACGUG